UUUCAAGGGAUACUGAAAGGGAAUAUUGGAACCAAAUGAAUCUGAAUGGGAAUCCCAGGUCUGUCACUGUCUGUUUUAGACCUUGGAAACAUUACUUAACCUCUUUUGAAAAUAAGGAUUUACCAUCUUGUUGGUUGGUUUGUUAGGAUGAUUAGAUACAUUCCAGAUCAGGGUAACUCUCCUAGGUUAAAAGCAGGGACUGAAGCCAGGCAAUUACCAGGGAUGGAAAUUUUAAAGCUGACGGCAGAACACACACCAGAGCUGCUGGCUCGUGGAAGCCUUUGAAGUGAUGAUUUGAUGGGCAAUCUGAGUUCCUCAGGAGCUGCCUAAAGCCUCAUAGGCUCAGGAGCCAUGCUCUGCUUUCAGAGUACUCAACCUGGGCCUUCCCCUACCUGUGUGAGAUGUCUGCUGCUGCACCCGCACGUGCCCCAGGAUCGAAGGGAGGCCUCAGAGUCCUGCCCUCACAGUGUCCCCCAUGUCUGAAGGCAAAAAACUUGGAAUCACUAUGCAUAUACUAUUUUGGAUGCUCGCUUUCUUGCUUUCUCACUUUCUUGCUUUCUCUCUCUCUCUCUCUCUCCCCCUCUCCUCCCUCCCCACUCCCUCUCUCUCCCUCUCCAUCCCUCUCCCCACCAUGCCCUGCUCCUCUCACUCCCUCCCUCCCCCUCCCUAUGUAAUGUAUACUUUAGCAUUUUACCAUGUUAAAUAUUUUUUCAAUAAUGUGAUUUUUGUUGGCUAUAUUCUUCUACAGCAACGACUACUGCAGUGGUGUAGAUAAAUCUCAUAAUGUUGAUCAGAAUCUCCCAGGCACAAAAGAGAAAAAAAGAUACAUGAUUGUAUACUUUUCUGUGUAUAGACUGUAUAGUUGAGUAAUUUUUAAAUUAUUUUAUAUGGUACUGUCUUUGAUGACUUCUCAGAAACAUCAGAUUGAUUCAUACCUUUUUUUGGUCUCUAUUUAUGCAUUUGCCAGUAAUAAAGCAUCUUGCUCCCUAAGGCUUCACACCAUGAAAUAGCCACAGUGCUGGGGGCCGUCCCAACGUGUUCUUUCUUCCACAGACGCAAGAUGGCUGUCCUCUCUAAGGAAUAUGGUUUUGUGCUUCUAACUGGUGCUGCCAGCUUUAUAAUGGUGGCCCACCUAGCCAUCAAUGUUUCCAAGGCCCGCAAGAAGUACAAAGUGGAGGUAAGUGGGAACACAAGCUGGUGCCCUUAUAGGCUUGUCUGGGGGCCACAGGCUUAGCCAAGAACUUAUUUUCAGCCAUGGAGGGAGAGGCAAGGAGCUAGUUGUGAGAAGUGGCAGUUUCAGGACUGUGUUAGCGAUUCUGCUUCUUCAUGGUAGGAAAGAGGCAAGAAAUACAGGGCCCUGCUAGGGAGUAGUUUCCAUCUUGUUUGACUUUGUCUCUUCUGUAGAAAGACCAGGUAUGCUGGAAUUCCAAUAGUACACUUCUGCUUGGAGCUAUUUGCUAGGAAGAGAGUUACUGUAUUUUCCACAGAGGGUUAAAUAGCAACAUUGUUUCAUGGUGUGCCACUUUAAAAAUGAUGUCUUACAGUGAUUUUCCUGUUUUCCAAGUAGAAAAGAGGUAUGUGGUGUUGAGAUUAGCCUGGACUUAGACAUAGGAAGGUGGUCUAUUAAACACUUCCUUUAGUUUUAGGUGAUCUAGAAGGGAUAAUUACCAAAGUUGUCCCUGGUGAGCGGUUUUAAAUGUCUGUUUCUGUUUAGCAACUUAAUAAUUAAACUCCCUUACUAGAGCUUCUUUUAAGUUUUUAUAUUUAGUUUCUUCUUUUUUUUCCCUUCCAGUGGACACUUCCAUUAAGAUUCUCACACACUCAAUUUCUGUUCUUCUAUUAAGGGAAAUCUUGAAAGGAUGUGGUAUUUGAUGACGCUUAGGAAGGCUCUAUUUCCCUACAGUAUCUUUGUAAUGCAUCUGAAAUCCACCAUUGAUGCUUAACGUCAAUGAAAAGCACGGAGUUUGGCGCAAAGCUGCCUCUUUCCCUUGUGCAACUACAGCGCAGACAUACAUUCUUAUUCCUGGAUAUUUAAUAGAAACAUUGACUCUGCUUCUGAGAAUUGAGACCCUUGUCACCAUAAAUAUUUAAGCAGAAAUUGAAUGGUCAUCUAUCAAGGGUGUGAAAGAAGAUACUUUGGAAUAUAUUGUUUUUAAGGUUCAUUUUAACUUUCAACACUGAAUGCUCCUCUUGACCAUCUGAUCAGUAUGUGCUUUGUUGUGACAGUAUCCUAUCAUGUACAGCACGGACCCUGAAAAUGGGCACAUCUUCAACUGCAUUCAGCGAGCCCACCAGAACACGUGAGUGUCGGCCCUGCCGGGCACCAAAGACAUCUGCAGAGUGGGUGUUUUCUGUCUAACACCUCAGCCCUUAGUGCGCUGUAUAUGCUGAGUCAUAGUGAUGGUGACAAUCAUGGGCACCUCAUUAAAAGUAUUCAAAAAUUAUGUAUGUGAACACAUGGACUAUUAAGAAAACUUAAGAGUGGUUGGAAUGGUGGGAUUUCGGGAUAUUCUUUUCAAAAAAUGUCUUCAUGGUUGCAUUACCUACUACAGUUUUGCAGCAUGACCCAUCUAAACCGAUGUUGACUCUCCCAGGCCUAGGGAGUGAAGAGGUUUUGAAUGCUGUAAGGAAACCCACUCUGACUCACCAGGACCUUCCACUUCCAUUUGUUAGAUGUGAGGUCCUUUUACUCAGCAUGUUCCAAAUGACCUCUAAUCCCAUGCAGAGCAAAGGAGGGUGGAUGAUAGUGACCAGGUCUUAUCCCUGCAGUCAAUGUUUAUUUUUACCCCCAAGCUUCUAACUUGGCAAGAAAGAUGUAAAGAUUCAUAGUGCUGGCCGGGUGAGGUGGGCUCACACCUGUAAUCCCAGCACUUUGGGAGGCCGAGGUGGGUGGAUCACUUGAGGUCAGGAGUUGGAGACAAGCUUGGUCAACAUGGCGAAACCCCAUCUCUACAAAAGUUAGCCAGGCAUGGUGGCACGCACCUGUAAUCCCAGCUACUCAGGAAGCUGAGGCAUGAGAAUUACUUGAACCCGGGAGGCGGAGGUUGCAGUGAGCUGAGAUCACGCCACUGCAUUCCAGCCUGGGUGACAGAGACAUUCCGUCUC
rnacentral:sRNA from 1 species